rnacentral:rRNA from 1 species
UACGUAGGGUGCGAGCGUUUAAUCGGAAUUACUGGGCGUAAAGCGUGCGCAGGCGGUUCGUUGUGUCGGCGGUGAAAGCCCCGGGCUUAACCUGGGAAUUGCGCUCGAAACUACGUGGCUAGAGUGUGGCAGAGGGAGGUGGAAUUCCACGUGUAGCGGUGAAAUGCGUAGAGAUGCGGAGGAACACCGAUGGCGAAGGCAGCCCCCUGGGCGUAGCC